UUCCAUUGCUCUCUCCUCCUCCUCGAUGGUGAACAGCGGGGGCACGCUUCUGCUCACUUUCUCCUCGCACCGUCUCCCCGAUCCGCCUGGGAGCCACCUGCACACAGCCGACUCGCUCUCCUUUGCCUCAGCUCGCCGUCCUCCUGCCGUCGCUCAGUGGCGAGACCACCACGACGCCGCUCGCUCUCCUCCCGUCGACCUCCUCCUCUCCUAGAUCUCUGCAGAGUGCCUCCUCCUGGACGACCUCGCGUGUGCGGUGCCCGCCGCUUCACAUAUCAGCGCAGCCACCUUGCUGCCGUCCGGGAGAGCCUCCCGACAGCAGUCGCUGGCCUCCCCAUUCUCCCCCGCGCCUGGCUUCCCUCCGCCUCGCCCUGCUUCCGUCACGCCGCCUCCGCGCCAGCAAGUCCCGACACCGGCGAGCCACUGCCCUUUGGGUGAAGCGGUGCUCCCGCGUAUGCACCUGUGGCGGGCCGGCUGGUUGAUUAGGCGCGCACUGCGGCCUCGGCUUCAAUUUUUGACUGGUUAGUCCUCCUUUCCGCUCAGCCCUCUUGUGGCAUACGAGUAGAAUUCACUUUGAUUAAUUAAUUACAUAUUAGAUCUGGUUUAGCGUUUUAGAACCGCUUUGGUCGCAAUUGGUAGAUUUAGUGGUAACCUCGCCUCACUCGAUGAUGGUUCAAUUGUCUCUGCUCCAAAUCUGCAGACUCUCUGCUCCAAAUGUGUGCCGAGCAUCUUCUUCAAUGACAUGUAAGUAACUGUCAGAAAGUAAUCCAAUUCAAGAAAGCAAGCUUGCACAAUGCAAUUUGCUGCUUGUUCAUAGAACCAUAAUUCCAAUCAUAAGUUCAACAAAGUUUUAGUAAGCAAAUCAGCUCACCGUCACAGCCACCAAUGUGUUCCCCAUUAAUGAAGACAUUGAGAACAGUCCUCUGCCCAGUCCAUUCAGCAAGAGCUAACUGAAUCUCAGGUCCAUCGCCUUGAUAAAAGAUAACAUGGGUUAGUUCAAUAAGAGUUUCUCCCAAGACCUGUGCCGAUCAUCCCAAUGCAGAGCCAAUACAUGAUGCAAUUAGAAGUUAGAACAUGCUUGACGUUUAUCAUGAGCAUCCAGUAAUCACUUAGCUACAAGCUGCAGAUGAGUAGUAGAGUAGUACGACCAGGAGCAGAGUGUAAAAAAACAUGUAUUGCUCAGAGCAUGUAAACACUAAAAAGAAGAGUAACUAAUCUGAGGUUUGGAUGAUAGCACUUAGAUUACAUAGUGCGUCAUAGUUGGGUGCGUGCGACCUCAAUUGCUUCUUCUUUGUUGCCAGAAAACUCAAUUGCUUCUUUAUUGUCUAACCAAUCAUCAAAGCUCCCAAGAGAUUUGAGAUCACACUCACAUCAUUACUUAGUGAGCUUACUGAUUACUUACAAAAUCAUUGUUCCAUAAAUGGUGUUGUCAUAAAUUCUUUUCCAGGCCACAGUAGUAUGAAGCUCUUAAACUGAAUAUGUAUAGUAUUCCAACAAAACAGUACACAGGGAAAUCCAAAUGCAGGAAAAUAACUUGCAUUAAGCUCUUAUAAACCCAGCAAGUACACCAUUUCAACGGAACAGUACACAGUAACAUCCGGAUGCAGGAAACUUAAGGUUAUUAUUCAUCUAAAUUAUUGGGAGCUCGAUACCAGCAAGCUGAGUCUGAUCAAACUAUCUACAUCACUGUUAGAUAUUGCAUAUUUUGUCUACCACUGUACAAUAUACAUGCAUCUGUGCUUGCGGCGGAGGCGAAGACGAGCCAUAGAGUUGUAGGAGCGAGCAGCAGAGCGAAGGGAGGCUCAGAAGAACAACUCUAGCAGGCGGCGCGGUGGAGCAGUAACGGCUACGCUCACCGAUGGUGGCGAGGCGUGGAAAACAAAGACCAUGAUUUCAACUCUUUGUGGACAUACCUCAAGCGUAGGAUCGGCCGACAAAUUUCCGGUGAACUGUGGAGCACUGUUGGAAGCCAGUAUGUUUUCUGUCGAAGUCUAACGAGGCAACAUUGGACGGUUUUCCGGCGAAGUAGGCGGAGACAACAUUGGACAUAUUUUGUCGGACGUCGUCUUGUUUUCUGGCGAAGUCUGCGAAGGCGAUAGUGGGCGGACUACCGGCGAAGGUGGACAGAAUUUGUCGGAUGACGUCUUGCUUUCCGGCGAAGUCGGCGGAGGAGACAUUGGGUGGACUUGAGGAGAAUUUGCAAUGCAAUUUAUGUGGAGUGUCGAAAUGUCUUGUAACCGGGAUUUCGAGACUGAUCGGGUCUUCCCGGGAGAAGGAAUAUCCUUCGUUGACCGUGAGAGCUUAUAAUGGGCUAAGUUGGGACACCCCUGCAGGGUGUUAUCUUUCGAAAGCCGUGCCCGCGGUUAUGUGGCAGAUGAGAAUUUGUUAAUAUCCGGUGGUAGAGAACUUGACACUUGACCUUAAUUAAAAUACAUCAACCGCGUGUGUAGCUGUGAUGGUCUCUUUUCGGCGGAGUCCGGGAAGUGAACACGGCUUUUGGGUUAUGUUUGACGUAAGUAGGAGUUCAGGAUCACUUCUUGAUCAUUGCUAGUUCACGACCGUUCCGUUGCUUCUCUUCUCGCUCUCAUUUGCGUAUGUUAGCCACCAUAUAAGCUUAGUGCUUGCUGUAGCUCCACCUCAUUACCCCAUCCAUUCCUUUAAGUUUAAAUAGUCUUGAUCUCGCGGGUGUGAGAUUGCUGAGUCCUCGUGACUCACAGAUACUUCCAAAAUAGUUGCAGGUGCCGAUGAUACCAGUGCAGGUGACGCAGCUGAGCUCAAGUGGGAGCUCGAUGAAGAUCUUGCUCUUUGUGUUGUUUCUUUUCAUGUUGUUCAGUAGUGGUGCCCAGUUGGGACGAUCGGGGAUCUAGCAGUUGGGUUGUCUUCUUUUCUUUUGGUUCUGUAGUCGGACCUAUGUGUGUACUCUGAUUGAUGUAUGAUUUAUUUAUGUAUUGUGUGAAGUGGCGAUUGUAAGCCAACUCUUUAUCCCAUUCUUGUUCAUUACAUGAGAUUGUGUGAAGAUGACCCUUCUUGCGACAAAACCAUAAUGCGGUUAUGCCUCUAAGUCGUGCCUCGACACGUGGGAGAUAUAGCCGUAUCGUGGGCGUUACAAGUUGGUAAUCAGAGCCAUCCCUGACUUAGGAGCCCCCCUGCUUGAUCGAAUCGCUGGC
rnacentral:lncRNA from 1 species